rnacentral:rRNA from 1 species
GACGAACGCUGGCGGCGUGCCUAAUACAUGCAAGUAGAACGCACAGUUUAUAUCGUAGCUUGCUACACCAUAGACUGUGAGUUGCGAACGGGUGAGUAACGCGAAGGUAACCUGCCUGGUAGCGGGGGAUAACUAUUGGAAACGAUAGCUAAUACCGCAUGAUAUUAAUUGUCGCAUGAUAAUUAAUUGAAAGAUGCAAUUGCAUCACUACCAGAUGGACCUGCGUUGUAUUAGCUAGUUGGUGAGGUAACGGCUCACCAAGGCGACGAUACAUAGCCGACCUGAGAGGGUGAUCGGCCACACUGGGACUGAGACACGGCCCAGACUCCUACGGGAGGCAGCAGUAGGGAAUCUUCGGCAAUGGGGGGAACCCUGACCGAGCAACGCCGCGUGAGUGAAGAAGGUUUUCGGAUCGUAAAGCUCUGUUGUAAGAGAAGAACGGGUGUGAGAGUGGAAAGUUCACACUGGACG